GGCAGUGUUUAGGACUGUGGAAAGCCGUUUUUGAUGCAACUACGCCAGGCUGCCGAAGGGAGCGCUGUGACGCCUCAAAUAUGGGGAUUUUGCCAGAGAAGAAACACCAGCUUUCAUUCAUAAUUUCCAGGGCGCAGAGCCAGGAGGCCCAUCAAUGUGGGUGUAGCGUACGGAGGAAAUGGUGUGUAAUUUUGCCACCUGACACUUGUGCAUCCACCAUUAGAUGAGCCCAGCCGUCUCUACAGGUGACCCAGCACCAUGCCAUAACAUAGUCAGCUGGUACACUCAGAUGUUCCCCCAAAGCUCUAAUUCCAUCAUGGCUGACACAAACGAGGAAACGCGAGCCAACGGCUGGAAAAACGACUCGCACUUCUUUAAAAAAUAAAAAAAAGGUGGGAGCAGCU